CUGGGCCAUCUGGAGACAGGGGAACAGACAGAUUCUCCCCAUCCCUUUGUCCUUAAGAUUUUUGCUCAGAUUUAUCACGGUGUGAUUUCUAGAGUGAAACUCACUGUGCCCUAGGAUUUAAAAAAUCCAAUUGUCAUCAGUAGUCCACAGAGACAUUGGAAAAUCCUGCAGACACGUGCCCUCCGUCCAUCAUUCAAUAGCUGUUAACCAGGGACAGACAGACAGAGCCCCGCCCCAAUGGAGCUUCCUUCUAUUCCAGUGUUUGGUAAAAGUUGGUGCCUCUGUCUCCUGAGAAGUAGAAGCUGAACACCCUGGGCCAAGCAGGUUCACACUCUCACACUGCUGACAGGCGGUUCCGUCCUUUGUCCUCACUUCGGAUGAGGAUGCGGCAUUCCUCCUGUGUCUGCCACAGACUCUGUGUGGUUUCUGAGAUGGGCGAAUGGACUGAUGCGUGGCCGUGGCCCACUUCUGCAGUGUUGCGUGGAGUUGUUGCGUGGAGUUCCAGCGUCUGAGUGCACAGCGACCCUUGGUUCUCCAGGUGGAGGGUACAAUUUUAAUCAGUUCUGCCAUCACUGCUGAGAAUGUCCACGUCUCCUGGUGCACAUGAGGAAGACUUCUAGAACAUUCGCUAAGAAAAGGAGUUGUCGAGUCUUAGGGAGGCACAUUUUCAGCUUUCUGAGAUGAGGCCAAAUUGUUUCCAAAGUGGCUGCACCGGUGACAAGCCCACCAGUCAUGUCUGAUUGAUGCUGCCCACAUCCCGGCCAAUGGCAGAUACUACCCCAUUAAGGAUGCUUUGAUUAUCUGAUCCUAUACGAUGGUUUCUCACUGCGGCUUCAAUGUCCAUACCUCUGAUUGCUAAUGAGGUUGAAUACGGCUUCACAUUUGUAUUGGCUAUAUACACUUCCUCUUACAAAACGCCUUUCUUGGUCUUUUAUUUUCUGAUUGUCUUGUGUUUUUAACAUUGAUUUUUAGGAGUCUUAAAUGCAUUCUGAAUAUAAACUUUGUCAGCUUUGUGUGCUGCACACGUCUCUGGGCUUCUGAGUUUGCUUUCCCACUUUCUGUUUGUUUUGUAUGUUUUUUUCUAAUGAGUUUUUUUUGAGAUGGAGUCUUGCUCUGUUGCCCAGGCUACAGUGCAGUGGCACGAUCUCUGCUCUCUACCUCCGCCUCUCUGGUUCAAGUGACUCUCCUGCGUUAGCCUCCUGAGUAGCUGGGAUUACAGGUGCUCGCCACCAUGCUCACCUAAUUUUUUAUUUUAUUUUAUCUUUUUUAGUAGAGAUGGAGUUUCACCAUGUUGGCCAGGCUGGUCUUGAACUCCUGACCUCAGGUGAUCUGCCCACCUUGGCCUCCCAAAGUGCUGGGAUUAUAGGUGUGAGCUACCCCGCCCAGCCUUGAAUAAGUUAUUAAAAAUUUUAAGCAGGUAAAUUUGCUCAAUUAUUUCUUUUAUGGCUCGUGGAUUUUUGACCUUCUUACUGACCACAGAUCAUAAAUCGUUUCUUUGAAGAAAGUUUAAAC
rnacentral:lncRNA from 13 species